UUAAUACUCCCUCCGACCCAAAAUUCGUGUCUUAAAUCUGUCUAAAUACGGAUGUAUCAAGUCACGUUUUAGUAUUAGAUACAUCCGUAUCUAGACAAAUUGAAGACAAGAAUUUUGGGAUGGAGGGAGUAGAUG
rfam:Triticum aestivum genome assembly, contig: Triticum_aestivum_CS42_TGACv1_scaffold_578684_7BL